UACAGAGGGUGCAAGCGUUAAUCGAAAUUACUGGGCGUAAAGGGUGCGUAGGUGGUUUGAUAAGUUAGAUGUGAAAUUCCUGGGCUCAACCUGGGGACUGCGUCUGAUACUGUUGAGCUAGAGUUCUGUAGAGGAAGGUGGAAUUUUCGGAGUAGCGGUGAAAUGCGUAGAUAUCGGAAGGAACAUCGGUGGCGAAGGCGGCCUUCUGGACAGGAACUGACACUGAGGCACGAAAGCGUGGGGAGCAAACAGGAUUAGAUACCCUGGUAGUCCACGCUGUAAACGAUGAGAACUGGCUGUUGGGGGUCGUUAGACCCCGAGUAGCGAAGCUAACGCGUUAAGUUCUCCGCCUGGGGAGUACGGUCGCAAGAUUAAA
rnacentral:rRNA from 1 species